UACGUAGGGUGCAAGCGUUGUCCGGAAUUAUUGGGCGUAAAGAGCUCGUAGGCGGUUUGUCGCGUCUGCUGUGAAAACCCGAGGCUCAACCUCGGGCCUGCAGUGGGUACGGGCAGACUAGAGUGCGGUAGGGGAGAUUGGAAUUCCUGGUGUAGCGGUGGAAUGCGCAGAUAUCAGGAGGAACACCAAUGGCGAAGGCAGAUCUCUGGGCCGUAACUGACGCUGAGGAGCGAAAGCAUGGGGAGCAAACGGG
rnacentral:rRNA from 1 species